CAGUCUAAUUCUUGUCGUAGUGCUGUGUAAAUCGUUAAGAUUUCUCUCAAUUUCGGCAUUAAAAAUACCAAAAAAAAAAAAACCAUAAGAAUACAACAAAAUUGUAAAGUGUCUAAAACAUAAGUACAAAGUGAAAAUCUUUGUGGGCAAACUUGGUGGUUCGCUAGGUUCAACAACUUGAAUUUCCUUUGAUUAACCUAUGUUUCUCUCGUUAGUUAGUAUAAGUGCAUUAGAUUGUCAGCUCAUCGCCAAACACCGAGUAAAACUAGCACAUAUUAGCUAAACACGAAUUCGCUCCCUUUUCGCUAGUCCUAUUUUGAAGAACUGAAAACUAUCUGUUGUUUCAAAUUGUGGUAAUCUUAAGGUUCGAAGAAGAAUAUUAAAUUUAAGUUUCCAACUUUGAAAGCUGAAAUCUCUUUACGCAAAAUUAAAAAUUUAUAAUCUCAAA